UACGUAGGCAGCAAGCGUUGUUCGGAUUCAUUGGGCGUAAAGGGUGCGUAGGCGGUCUGCUAAGUUUGGUGUGAAAUCCCGGGGCUCAACCCUGGAAUGGCAUUGAAUACUGGCGGACUAGAGUACCGGAGAGGAAACUGGAAUUUACGGUGUAGCAGUGAAAUGCGUAGGGAUCGUAAGGAAGACCAGUGGCGAAGGCGACUACCUGGCCUGUUCUUGACGCUGAGGCGCGAAAGCUAGGGGAGCAAACGGG
rnacentral:rRNA from 1 species